CACGUAGGGUGCGAGCGUUGUCCGGAAUUAUUGGGCGUAAAGAGCUCGUAGGCGGUGUGUCGCGUCGGCCGUGAAAACCUGCAGCUUAACUGUGGGCUUGCGGUCGAUACGGGCAUCACUGGAGUUCGGCAGGGGAGACUGGAAUUCCCGGUGUAGCGGUGAAAUGCGCAGAUAUCAGGAGGAACACCGAUGGCGAAGGCAGCCCCCUGGGCUGACACUGACGCUCAGGCACGAAAGCGUGGGGAGCAAACAGG
rnacentral:rRNA from 1 species